AAAACAUGACUUUGAUCUGCGUCCUCAUCUGGACUCUCCUCUGCUGCUGCUUCACAGAGUCCAGAGGCCAGUACACACUGACUCAGCCUGGAGUAGUGAGCUCUGCUCUGGGAGGAUCAGUCACCAUCACAUGUAGGACCAGUCAGAAUGUUUAUUACAGCAGCUACCACUAUUUAUCCUGGUACCAACAGAGAGAUGGAGGAGUUCCUAAACUCCUUUUUUACUAUGUUGGUAAUCGAGUAUCAGGGACACCAAAUCGUUUUACAGACGGUGGAUCAAACUCUGACUUCACUCUGACCAUCAGUGGAGUCCAGACUGAAGAUGCAGCAGUUUAUUACUGUCAGAGUCUUCACAUUCCCAACAGUCAGUGGGUGUUCACACAGUGAAAAACCGUCGUACAAAAACCUCCCUCAGUCAGACUGAACAGAAACUGAAGUGACUGCUGCAGCUGGAAGCUACUGUACAGACUGAUACAGUUCACUGAACACACAAACCAGACGUUGGUUAUAAGGUACAUACAGAUCAUACACUGCAUUUGUUGAGACAAAAUGAAUGCAAGUUUCAACAGAAGUGAUUUUAAAAUAUCUCCUAGACAUAGAUGAACUGUUCAUUCAAUGAACACUUUUCUCAAAUUUGAUUGUUUCCAUUUUAAAAUCCAUCAACAUCUCAGGCAUCAUCCCCAACAUCAUAAAAUCAACUUGUUUUAUUAUAUUUUACAAAACCUUCAUCUUCCCAUCAGUCACUUAUUAAUCAGAUCCAAAGUCAAAGCAGGUUUUCUGCUUCUCUUUCCUAUUUUA